rnacentral:hammerhead_ribozyme from 1 species
AGACGAGUCCCAAAUAGGACGAGAUGCGCAUCCUGGAU